rnacentral:rRNA from 1 species
CCUACGGGUGACAGCAGUGGGGAAUAUUGGGCAAUGGGCGCAAGCCUGACCCAGCAACGCCGCGUGAAGGAAGAAGGCUCUUGGGUUGUAAACUUCCUGUAAGAGGGAAGAGAAGAAGACGGUACCUCUUGAAUAAGGCACGGCUAACUACGUGCCAGCAGCCGCGGUAAUACGUAGGUGGCAAGCGUUGUCCGGAUUUAAUGGGUGUAAAGGGCGUGCAGCCGGGAAGACAAGUCAGAUGUGAAAUCCCGCGGCUCAACCGCGGAACUGCAUUUGAAACUGUUUGUCUUGAGUACCGGAGAGGUCAUCGGAAUUCCUUGUGUAGCAGUGAAAUGCGUAGAUAUAGGGAAGAACACCAGUGGCGAAGGCGGAUGACUGGACGGCAACUGACGGUGAGGCGCGAAGGCGUGGGGAGCGAACAGGAUUAGAUACCCUUGUAGUC